rnacentral:rRNA from 1 species
UUGAACGCUGGCGGCAGGCCUAACACAUGCAAGUCGAGCGGAUGAAGGGAGCUUGCUCCUGGAUUCAGCGGCGGACGGGUGAGUAAUGCCUAGGAAUCUGCCUGGUAGUGGGGGAUAACGUCCGGAAACGGGCGCUAAUACCGCAUACGUCCUGAGGGAGAAAGUGGGGGAUCUUCGGACCUCACGCUAUCAGAUGAGCCUAGGUCGGAUUAGCUAGUUGGUGGGGUAAAGGCCUACCAAGGCGACGAUCCGUAAUUGGUCUGAGAGGAUGAUCAGUCACACUGGAACUGAGACACGGUCCAGACUCCUACGGGAGGCAGCAGUGGGGAAUAUUGGACAAUGGGCGAAAGCCUGAUCCAGCCAUGCCGCGUGUGUGAAGAAGGUCUUCGGAUUGUAAAGCACUUUAAGUUGGGAGGAAGGGCAGUAAGUUAAUACCUUGCUGUUUUGACGUUACCAACAGAAUAAGCACCGGCUAACUUCGUG